AAAGAACGCUGGCGGCACGUUUUAAGCAUGCAAGUCGAACGGCAGUGGGGGCAACCCCAUGAGAGUGGCGAACGGGUGAGUAACACGCAGGUGAUCUGCCUUUGGUUUGGGGAUAGCUUGUGGAAACACAGGGUAAUACCGAAUGAGUUGACGAGGCAUUGGCCACGUUAGUAAAGGUGCUACGGCCCCGACGAGAGAGGAGCCUGCGGCUGAUUGGCUAGGUGGUGGGGUAAAGGCCUACCAAGGCGACGAUCAGUAGCCGGCCCGAGAGGGUGUACGGCCACACGGGCACUGAGACACGGUCCAGACUCCUACGGGAGGCAGCAGCUAAGAAUCUUCCGCAAUGGGCGAAAGCCUGACGGAGCGAUGCCGCGUGAUCGAUGAAGGUCGAGAGAUUGUAAAGAUCUUUUCCAACUGAGGAAUAAGUGGACCAGUUAAUGGGUUCAUGAUGACGUUAAGUUGGGAAUAAGCCCCGGCUAAUUACGUGCCAGCAGCCGCGGUAA
rnacentral:rRNA from 1 species